CACACAUUAGUGGAUUUUAUCCCAUGGAGGUGUGAAUCAUUGCUUGCAUGGGGAGCUUACUGAAGAGGAGAGAACUAAAGCUUGGCUCUCGCCUACCAAGCAUUCUCAUGUUCUGAAGGAUUUGGCAUAUGUUGUACUGGACAAAAGGCUUCUUAAUAAUGUUGGAUACUUUUUGAAAUUCAGGAGUACAGCUGAUUUGGAAGGCUUUCACCAGCACCUCCUUAUGUAUUGUUCUAAAAGGUUUGCGUACACUCCGCCAGUAUACAGAGCCAGAAACAGGUUUGCAGCUCUGGAUCACAAUAUGAAUGUUGACCGACCAGUACAGAGGAACAAAGAUGGGAAAAUCAGGUAUCACCGAGUGUUCAACAAAAAAAGUGGACGAUGGACUGUUCAUGCAGUUAAAACCAGAAAGCAGUACAAUUAUAUUCAUUCCCUUCUAGCAAGUGCUCUGAUUAUGCGGAUCCAUGAUAGAAUUGGAAUGAAGUUGACCACAUUGGCCCCUGAUGAUCCACGUAUCAUCUCAAAACAUUUGGCAGCCCAAGAACCACCCCCCACAGAGGAGCUUGUAAGACAGCAAAAGUCCCGAUUUACUGAAUAGUUCAUCUCUUCAAAGAAACAAUGAAUGUCUGUUGCUCAAAUGUCAUCUAUUACUGACAUUUCUGGGACUCCAUCAUGAAGAGUUUGAUACAUGUAUCCUGUCAUUUUAUUUCAUAGUUUAUUUAUUGUUUAGGUCGGACUGAAUCAGGACUUUAACUCUUGCCAAAAUGUUGAAAUUUUUCAUGUUUUUUAAUGCAUGAAGUCAUUGUAAAUAAUAAUGCUACUGACCAAAUUUGAAGUGACUUUUUUUUGUAUAACUUAUCUACAUGAGUUUCAGAUAGGUGUAAAGAAUUUACAUGUGAAACAAAUUCAAUUAUUCCACUUUCAAAAAAUAAA